rnacentral:rRNA from 1 species
AAAUUGAAGAGUUUGAUCAUGGCUCAGAUUGAACGCUGGCGGCAGGCCUAACACAUGCAAGUCGAACGGUAACAGGAAGCAGCUUGCUGCUUCGCUGACGAGUGGCGGACGGGUGAGUAAUGUCUGGGAAACUGCCUGAUGGAGGGGGAUAACUACUGGAAACGGUAGCUAAUACCGCAUAAUGUCGCAAGACCAAAGAGGGGGACCUUCGGGCCUCUUGCCAUCGGAUGUGCCCAGAUGGGAUUAGCUUGUUGGUGGGGUAACGGCUCACCAAGGCGACGAUCCCUAGCUGGUCUGAGAGGAUGACCAGCCACACUGGAACUGAGACACGGUCCAGACUCCUACGGGAGGCAGCAGUGGGGAAUAUUGCACAAUGGGCGCAAGCCUGAUGCAGCCAUGCCGCGUGUAUGAAGAAGGCCUUCGGGUUGUAAAGUACUUUCAGCGGGGAGGAAGGGAGUAAAGUUAAUACCUUUGCUCAUUGACGUUACCCGCAGAAGAAGCACCGGCUAACUCCGUGCCAGCAGCCGCGGUAAUACGGAGGGUGCAAGCGUUAAUCGGAAUUACUGGGCGUAAAGCGCACGCAGGCGGUUUGUUAAGUCAGAUGUGAAAUCCCCGGGCUCAACCUGGGAACUGCAUCUGAUACUGGCAAGCUUGAGUCUCGUAGAGGGGGGUAGAAUUCCAGGUGUAGCGGUGAAAUGCGUAGAGAUCUGGAGGAAUACCGGUGGCGAAGGCGGCCCCCUGGACGAAGACUGACGCUCAGGUGCGAAAGCGUGGGGAGCAAACAGGAUUAGAUACCCUGGUAGUCCACGCCGUAAACGAUGUCGACUUGGAGGUUGUGCCCUUGAGGCGUGGCUUCCGGAGCUAACGCGUUAAGUCGACCGCCUGGGGAGUACGGCCGCAAGGUUAAAACUCAAAUGAAUUGACGGGGGCCCGCACAAGCGGUGGAGCAUGUGGUUUAAUUCGAUGCAACGCGAAGAACCUUACCUGGUCUUGACAUCCACGGAAGUUUUCAGAGAUGAGAAUGUGCCUUCGGGAACCGUGAGACAGGUGCUGCAUGGCUGUCGUCAGCUCGUGUUGUGAAAUGUUGGGUUAAGUCCCGCAACGAGCGCAACCCUUAUCUUUUGUUGCCAGCGGUCCGGCCGGGAACUCAAAGGAGACUGCCAGUGAUAAACUGGAGGAAGGUGGGGAUGACGUCAAGUCAUCAUGGCCCUUACGACCAGGGCUACACACGUGCUACAAUGGCGCAUACAAAGAGAAGCGACCUCGCGAGAGCAAGCGGACCUCAUAAAGUGCGUCGUAGUCCGGAUUGGAGUCUGCAACUCGACUCCAUGAAGUCGGAAUCGCUAGUAAUCGUGGAUCAGAAUGCCACGGUGAAUACGUUCCCGGGCCUUGUACACACCGCCCGUCACACCAUGGGAGUGGGUUGCAAAAGAAGUAGGUAGCUUAACCUUCGGGAGGGCGCUUACCACUUUGUGAUUCAUGACUGGGGUGAAGUCGUAACAAGGUAACCGUAGGGGAACCUGCGGUUGGAUCACCUCCUUACCUUAAAGAAGC